rnacentral:rRNA from 1 species
AUUGAACGCUGGCGGCAUGCCUUACACAUGCAAGUCGAACGGCAGCACGGGAGCAAUCCUGGUGGCGAGUGGCGAACGGGUGAGUAAUAUAUCGGAACGUGCCCAGUCGUGGGGGAUAACGUAGCGAAAGCUACGCUAAUACCGCAUACGAUCUAUGGAUGAAAGCGGGGGAUCGCAAGACCUCGCGCGAUUGGAGCGGCCGAUAUCAGAUUAGGUAGUUGGUGAGGUAAAGGCUCGCCAAGCCGACGAUCUGUAGCUGGUCUGAGAGGACGACCAGCCACACUGGGACUGAGACACGGCCCAGACUCCUACGGGAGGCAGCAGUGGGGAAUUUUUGGACAAUGGGCGCAAGCCUGAUCCAGCAAUGCCGCGUGCAGGAUGAAGG